GGCCUAACACAUGCAAGUCGAGCGGCAGCGGGAAAGUAGCUUGCUACUUUUGCCGGCGAGCGGCGGACGGGUGAGUAAUGCCUGGGGAUCUGCCCAGUCGAGGGGGAUAACAGUUGGAAACGACUGCUAAUACCGCAUACGCCCUACGGGGGAAAGGAGGGGACCUUCGGGCCUUUCGCGAUUGGAUGAACCCAGGUGGGAUUAGCUAGUUGGUGAGGUAAUGGCUCACCAAGGCGACGAUCCCUAGCUGGUCUGAGAGGAUGAUCAGCCACACUGGAACUGAGACACGGUCCAGACUCCUACGGGAGGCAGCAGUGGGGAAUAUUGCACAAUGGGGGAAACCCUGAUGCAGCCAUGCCGCGUGUGUGAAGAAGGCCUUCGGGUUGUAAAGCACUUUCAGCGAGGAGGAAAGGUUGGCGCCUAAUACGUGUCAACUGUGACGUUACUCGC
rnacentral:rRNA from 1 species